CACAACAACUAGAGUCACUAAAUAAGCGUAGCUUAUUUAGUGACUCUAACAACAGCCGGACGCCGAACAUCGUGCGCGGACGAUCGUUGAGGAAGAAGGACGAAGUGGUCGUUGUAAAUCUCGUGAAUGCACGUAGCCAGUGUUUCGAUGCCAGAGCUGACUGAUGGGUGCACAUGGCUCCUUCGAAUGUUCUUCCUUUGAAAAAAUAAACAGGUUUUGAUGCCAGAGGUGAUUGGCGCAUUUUCAUCACUAUGUACAUAGAAAAUAAAUCCCGAUGUGACAAA